rnacentral:lncRNA from 1 species
UAAUGGCGUUUGGAGGCGAAUUUGUGACGAAUUGAAAGGGGAUUGUAGGCGAAAGAAAAUUUGGCAAAGCGCCGAACAUCACAAUCAAAUACAAACCAACUUUCAAGCACGAAAUCCGUACUAUGAUACCAUUUUAAAAUUUAAUGUAUAGGGCUAAGGAAUGACAAGGCACCCUACAGAAUACCUGCAGGUUUUUCAGAGCCAUCGUAUAUAAAGCUCUCCCCUAUUUGCAUCCAGCCCUUACAUGAUAUAGAAGAAAGUAAUAAGAAGAUGGUUAAGAAGAUAGAAGAACUAAACCUAGAUUAUAUAAUCAGAUAUGGCUUUUCUACAUUUUUUCGGAUGCGCUUCCCAAACCAUAGAUACAUACAUAGAUGGAGAUGAACUUCUUGCCAUUAAUAGGCCCAGCAAACAAUGGUUUUGACCAAAUUAUUUUCACCGUCUUUCUAUCCUAAUUUCUUACUCCAUUUUAGAUGAUAUAUUCCAAUGUUAUUACAACAACAUAAAACACUUAUUUUUGUAUUUUAUGAUCAUUUUUUAAGAUCUUAAAAUACAAAAACCCGAUUACCGGAUUUUAUUAAUUAUAAUAUUCAUUCAUCUACUAGCUUCAAUCUGUUGAAUACCAACGGCCAUAUGGUUCUUUCAAUGUGCAUUUAUAAGCUUAGGCACCCCAUGCUAAGCCUUUUUCAUUACCAACACUAAAAUAUAAUUACAAAAUAUGAAACCAUGAAUCAAAAAUCACUCUUUUCAAAAAAUACUUGUUGUACACAAGGACAUAAAGAAUCGAAAGAUAAUAAUAAGCAAACGAAAGAAAUGUAAUUGUGUUUAGAGGCGAAUUUGUGACGAAUUGAAAGGGGAUUGUAGACGAAAGGAAAUUUGGCAAAACGUCGAACAUCACAAUCAAAUACAAACCAACUUUCAAGCACAAAAUUCGUAGUAUGAUACCAUUUUAAAAUUUAAUGUAUAGGGCUAAGGAAUGACAAGGCACCCUACAGAGUAUCUGCAUGUUCUUCAGAGCCAUCGUAUAUAAAGCUCUCCCCUAUUUGCAUCCAGCCCUUACAUGAUAUAGAAGAAAGUAAUAAGAAGAUGGUCAAGGAGAUAGAAGAAUUAAACCUAGAUUAUAUAAUCGGAUAUGGCUUUUCUACGUUUAUUCUGUUUCGCUUCCCAAACUCCAGAUACAUACAUAGAUGGAGAUGGAGUUCUUACCAUUUAUAUGCCCGGCUAACAAUGGUUUUGACCAAAUUAUUUCCACCGUCUUUCUAUCCUAAUUUAUUACUUCAUUUUAGAUGAUAUAUUCCCUUGUUAUUGCAACAACAAAAAACACUUAUUUUUGUAUUUUAAGAUCAUUUUUUAAGAUCUUAAAAUACAAAAACCCGAUUACCGAAUUUUAUUGAUUAUAAUAUACAUUCAUCAAUUAGCUUCAAUACGCUGAAUACCAACGGCCAUAUGGUUCUUUCAAUUUGAAUUUGUAAGCAUAGGCACCCCAUGCUAAGCCUUUUUCAUUACCAACACUAAAGUAUAAUUACAAAAUAUGAAAUCAUGAAUUAAAAAUCACUCUUUUCAAAAAAUACUUGUUGUAAACAAGGACAAAAAGAAUCGAAAGAUAAUAAUAAGCAAACGAAAGAAAUGUAAUGGCGUUUGGAGGCUAAUUUGUGACGAAUUGAAAGGGGAUUGUAGGUGAAAAGAAAUUUGGCAAAGCUUCGAACAUUACAAUCAAAUACAAACCAACUUUCAAGCACGAAAUCCGUACUAUGAUACCAUUUUAAAAUUUAAUGUAUAGGGCUAAGGAAUGACAAGGCACCCUACAGAAUACCUGCAGGUUUUUCAGAGCCAUCGUAUAUAAAGUUCUCCCCUAUUUGCAUCCAGCCCUUACAAGAUAUAGAAGAAAGUAAUAAGAAGACGGUUAAGAAGAUAGAAGAACUAAACCUAGAUUUUAUAAUCGGAUAUGGCUUUUCUACAUUUUUUCGGCUGCGCUUCCCAAACCCUAGAUACAUACAUAGAUGGAGAUGAACUUCUUGCCAUUUAUAGGCCCAGCAAACAAUGGUUUUGACCAAAUUAUUUUCACCGCCUUUCUAUCCUAAUUUCUUACUCCAUUUUAGAUGAUAUAUUCCCCUUUUAUUGCAACAACAAAAAAACACUUAUUUUUGUAUUUUAAGAUCAUUUUUUAAGAUCUUAAAUUACAAAAACCCGAUUAUCGAAUUUUACUGAUUAUAAUAUCCAUUCAUCAACUAGUUUCAAUCUGUUGAAUACUAACGGCCAUAUGGUUCUUUCAAUGUGCAUUUGUAAGCAUAGGCAUGCUAAACUUUUUUCAUUACCAACACUAAAGUAUAAUUACAAAAUAUGAAACCAUGAAUCAAAAAUCACACUUUUCAAAAAAUACUUGUUGUAAACAAGAACAUAAACAAUCGAAAGAUAAUAAUAAGCAAACGAAAGAAGUGUAAUGGCAUUUGGAGGCGAAUUUGUGAUGAAUUGAAAGGGGAUUGUAGGCGAAAGGAAAUUUGGCAAAGCGCCGAACAUUACAAUCAAAUACAAACCAACUUUCAAGCAUAAAAUUCGUACUAUGAUGAUACCAUUUUAAAAUUUAAUGUAUAGGACUAAAUAAUGACAAGGCACCCUACAGAGUACCUGCAGGUUUUUCAGAGACAUCGUAUAUAAAGC